rnacentral:rRNA from 1 species
GAAGUAAAAGUCGUACCAAGGUUUCCGUAGGUGAACCUGCGGAAGGAUCAUUACAGAGUUCAUGCCCGAAAGGGUAGACCUCCCACCCUUGUGUAUUAUUACUUUGUUGCUUUGGCGAGCUGCUCUUCGGGGCCUUGUAUGCUCGCCAGAGAAUAUCAAAACUCUUUUUAUUAAUGUCGUCUGAGUACUAUAUAAUAGUUAAAACUUUCAACAACGGAUCUCUUGGUUCUGGCAUCGAUGAAGAACGCAGCGAAAUGCGAUAAGUAAUGUGAAUUGCAGAAUUCAGUGAAUCAUCGAAUCUUUGAACGCACAUUGCGCCCCUUGGUAUUCCGGGGGGCAUGCCUGUUCGAGCGUCAUUUCAACCCUCAAGCUCAGCUUGGUAUUGAGUCCAUGUCAGUAAUGGCAGGCUCUAAAAUCAGUGGCGGCGCCGCUGGGUCCUGAACGUAGUAAUAUCUCUCGUUACAGGUUCUCGGUGUGCUUCUGCCAAAACCCAAAUUUUCUAUGGUUGACCUCGGAUCAGGUAGGGAUACCCGCUGAACUUAAGCAUAUCAAUAAGCGGAGGA